GGUCCGAACCCACGAGCGUUGAAAAGCUCGGGGAUGACUUGUGGGUAGCGGUGAAAUUCCAAUCGAGCCCGGAGAUAGCUGGUUCUCCCCGAAAUAGCUUUAGGGCUAGCCUCAAGGUGAGAGAUACGGAGGUAGAGCACUGAAUGUCCUAGGGGGUAUUGCACCUACCGAAGACUAUCAAACUCCGAAUGCCGUCAUCUUAUACUUGGGAGUCAGACUGUGGGUGAUAAGAUUCAUAGUCGAAAGGGCAACAGCCCAGAUCGUCAGCUAAGGUCCCUAAAUGUAAGUUAAGUGGUAAAGGAUGUGGGAUUGCACAGACAACCAGGAUGUUGGCUUAGAAGCAGCCACUCAUUCAAAGAGUGCGUAAUAGCUCACUGGUCGAGUGAUCCUGCGCCGAAGAUUUCCGGGGCUAAAACUUACUACCGAAGCUACGGCAUCAGUAAUGAUGGGUAGGGGAGCUUCCCAUACGGUUUGAAGCAUGACCGUAAGGACAUGUGGACAGUAUGGGAGUGAGAAUGUUGGCAUGAGUAGCGAGAUGUGGGUGAGAAUCCCACAGGCCGUAAACCCAAGGUUUCCAGGGGAAGGUGCGUCCGCCCUGGGUUAGUCGGGACCUAAGCUGAGGCCGAAAGGCGUAGGUGAUGGACAACAGGUUGAUAUUCCUGUACUACCGAUAACCGUUUGAGAGAAGGGAUGACACAGUAGGAUAAGCUGAG
rnacentral:rRNA from 1 species